rnacentral:rRNA from 1 species
AGAGUUUGAUCCUGGCUCAGGACGAACGCUGGCGGCGCGCCUAACACAUGCAAGUCGAACGGAGCUGAGAGGAGCUUGCUUUUCUUAGCUUAGUGGCGAACGGGUGAGUAACGCGUGAGUAACCUGCCCUGGAGUGGGGGACAACAGUUGGAAACGACUGCUAAUACCGCAUAAGCCCACGAUCCGGCAUCGGAUUGAGGGAAAAGGAUUUAUUCGCUUCAGGAUGGACUCGCGUCCAAUUAGCUAGUUGGUGAGGUAACGGCCCACCAAGGCGACGAUUGGUAGCCGGACUGAGAGGUUGAACGGCCACAUUGGGACUGAGACACGGCCCAGACUCCUACGGGAGGCAGCAGUGGGGGAUAUUGCACAAUGGGGGAAACCCUGAUGCAGCGACGCCGCGUGGAGGAAGAAGGUUUUCGGAUUGUAAACUCCUGUCGUUAGGGACGAUAAUGACGGUACCUAACAAGAAAGCACCGGCUAACUACGUGCCAGCAGCCGCGGUAAAACGUAGGGUGCAAGCGUUGUCCGGAAUUACUGGGUGUAAAGGGAGCGCAGGCGGACCGGCAAGUUGGAAGUGAAAACUAUGGGCUCAACCCAUAAAUUGCUUUCAAAACUGCUGGCCUUGAGUAGUGCAGAGGUAGGUGGAAUUCCCGGUGUAGCGGUGGAAUGCGUAGAUAUCGGGAGGAACACCAGUGGCGAAGGCGACCUACUGGGCACCAACUGACGCUGAGGCUCGAAAGCAUGGGUAGCAAACAGGAUUAGAUACCCUGGUAGUCCAUGCCGUAAACGAUGAUUACUAGGUGUUGGAGGAUUGACCCCUUCAGUGCCGCAGUUAACACAAUAAGUAAUCCACCUGGGGAGUACGACCGCAAGGUUGAAACUCAAAGGAAUUGACGGGGGCCC